UUAUUAUUGAGCGGUUUGCUGUUUGUUUUAUGUUAUGGUUAUGUUUUAGUAAAGUAUUAUUUUGUUGUUGUAUUGUUAUUGAUUUGAUUUUUUUGGUUAUAGUUUAUUUGUACUGUAGGGGUGUAUAUUGAUUUAUUUUUGGAAGUUUGCUUGAUUUGCUGUACCUUGUGUAUCAGGGUUUACUGAAUUUUAUUAUUUAUUUUUAUUUCCCGAUUCUAAAAGGAGCUAUUAGCUUAUUUUGGUUGUUGUUUUAUUAACAUUAAUAAUAGGCUAAUAGUGAUGAAAUAUUACUCGUCUUUAGGGGUUUCCGGUUUUUCAAGAAAUGAAUUUAAUUCAUACGUCUUAUUUAGAGUUUUAUUAUUUGUUUAUUUAUUUUUAUUUGGCGUUAAGAUUGGGAGGGAUUAGCUUCUUAUUUUAUUUUAUAAAUUUUGGUUUAUUAGUCUUGGGGGUUUUAUAGUGAUUUUCAAUUUGAUUAUGGUAAAAUUUUAUUUGGUUUGGUCUGGUAAUUUUGGUUAAUUAAAUAAUUAUUGAAAUGUAUUUUUUAUUUUUGGUUUAUGGUUAGUAAUUAUUGUAGAAUUAGUAAAUUUGUUGUUAGGUUGUUUUAUUUGUGUUAAUUUUCUUUGAGGAACUAGGCAAAUUUCAUGUCCGCCUGUUUAACAAAAACAUCUUUUCUCGUUAGUUUUUGAAGUAUGGCCUGCCCGCUGACUUUGGUGUUGAAGGGCCGCGGUAUUUUGACCGUGCAAAGGUAGCAUAGUCAUUAGUUCUUUAAUUGUGAUCUGGUAUGAAUGGCUUGACGAGGCAUGGGCUGUCUUAAUUUUGAAUUGUUUAUUGAAUUUGGUCUUUGAGUUAAAAUUCUUAGAUGUUUUUAUGGGACGAGAAGACCCUAUAGAGUUUAACAUUUGUUAUGGUCCCCUUUCUGUUUGUGAGGGUUCAUUGGGCCGUUUAAUAUGUUUUGUUGGGGUGAUGGGAGGGAUUAAUUUAACCCCUCCUUUUUAUUAUUAUAUUUAUUUAUAUUUACUUGAUCCAUUUAUUUUGAUUGUAAGAUUAAAUUACCUUAGGGAUAACAGCGUUAUCUUCCUUGAGAGUUCUUAUCGGCAGGGGGGUUUGCGACCUCGAUGUUGGAUUAAGGUUUAUUUUCGGUGUAGGGGCUGAAAAUUAUUAGGUCUGUUCGACCUUUAAAAUCUUACAUGAUCUGAGUUCAAACCGGCGUGAGCCAGGUUGGUUUCUAUCUAUAAUGGAGUUUUAUACCUUAGUACGAGAGGACCAGGUAUUUGGAAUAAUUUUAUGUUUGUUGAAUAUUAUUAACUG
rnacentral:rRNA from 1 species